rnacentral:rRNA from 1 species
AACGAACGCUGGCGGCGUGCCUAACACAUGCAAGUCGUGCGAGAAAGUUCCUUCGGGAGCGAGUAAAGCGGCGCACGGGUGAGUAACACGUAGGUAACCUGCCCCCCAGUCUGGAACAACUAGAGGAAACUCUAGCUAAUGCCGGAUGAGACCACGAUCCCUUCGGGGGUUGCGGCCAAAGAUGGCCUCUACUUGUAAGCUAUCGCUGAGGGAUGGGCCUGCGGGCCAUUAGCUUGUUGGUGAGGUAACGGCUCACCAAGGCUGUGAUGGCUAGCUGGUCUGAGAGGAUGACCAGCCACACUGGGACUGAGGCACGGCCCAGACUCCUACGGGAGGCAGCAGUGGGAAUAUUGCGCAAUGGGCGAAGCCUGACGCAGCGACGCCGCGU